rnacentral:snRNA from 1 species
AAAAACUAUAACAUUGGUUAUUU